rnacentral:lncRNA from 1 species
CGGCCACAGUCAAGGUUAUUAUCCCUUCCGUCGGAAUGGCAUCGCCGGUAAACCCUACCAAGGGGGAGCUAAUCGGCCUCAGAUGACCGUCAAGAGUGGUCAUUCUUGAAAAGGCAUCGUAGAACAAGAUGUCGGCCGAACUUCCAUUGUCGACAAGAAUGCGACGGACGUCAUAAUUUGCUAUAUUCAAGGAAACUACGACCGCGUCAUUAUGAGGGA